rnacentral:rRNA from 1 species
GAUGAACGCUGGCGGCGUGCCUAAUACAUGCAAGUCGAGCGAACAGACGAGGAGCUUGCUCCUCUGACGUUAGCGGCGGACGGGUGAGUAACACGUGGAUAACCUACCUAUAAGACUGGGAUAACUUCGGGAAACCGGAGCUAAUACCGGAUAAUAUAGUGAACCGCAUGGUUCAAUAGUGAAAGACGGUUUUGCUGUCACUUAUAGAUGGAUCCGCGCCGCAUUAGCUAGUUGGUAAGGUAACGGCUUACCAAGGCGACGAUGCGUAGCCGACCUGAGAGGGUGAUCAGCCACACUGGAACUGAGACACGGUCCAGACUCCUACGGGAGGCAGCAGUAGGGAAUCUUCCGCAAUGGGCGAAAGCCUGACGGAGCAACGCCGCGUGAGUGAUGAAGGUCUUCGGAUCGUAAAACUCUGUUAUUAGGGAAGAACAAAUGUGUAAGUAACUAUGCACGUCUUGACGGUACCUAAUCAGAAAGCCACGGCUAACUACGUG